rnacentral:rRNA from 1 species
CAGUCGCCACGGGAAUACGGAGGGUGCAAGCGUUAAUCGGAAUUACUGGGCGUAAAGCGCGCGCAGGCGGUUUGUUAAGUCAGAUGUGAAAUCCCCGAGCUUAACUUGGGAACUGCAUUUGAAACUGGCAAGCUAGAGUCUUGUAGAGGGGGGUAGAAUUCCAGGUGUAGCGGUGAAAUGCGUAGAGAUCUGGAGGAAUACCGGUGGCGAAGGCGGCCCCCUGGACAAAGACUGACGCUCAGGUGCGAAAGCGUGGGGAGCAAACAGGAUUAGAUACCCCGGUAGUCCCUGUCUCUUAUAC